CAACCAGGCCCAAGUGCCAGUGUUACAGCUGAUGAUACAGCAGAUCCAUCCUCUGCAGGUGAGGAGCACUUACUAGCAUCUGCGUCCACGGAUCCUGCUGUUCCUUCCAUGUCCGUUUCAACCUCCGCAGAUGUAGCAGGUAAUUCUAGUUGUGGUCAUUGGGAUCUAUCACAUCUACUCCUUCAACUUUCAGCCUACACUAUGGAUCAGAAGGGCCUCCAGUUGACCCAGCUGAGAGGUCAUCUAUCCGGUCUUACUCGGAAAGGACCGAUCUGGUAAGCAGAGGGUCACUGCCUAAAAAGCAAAACUUCACAUUCCCUAAAUAAACUUGAUGGCAAAAACUUCCACUACACCUACAGUUAAUUAAUGGGGGGGGGGGGAAUCGGAAUCGGCCAACUGUUUGUAGUUGAUCUUCACUUUUGUACAUUGGUAAUUUUUAACGAAGCAAUUUAAAAUGGUUAACUUGUUUACAGUAAAUGCAUUGUCUGCUGGUUUAUUUGGCUACUUUUCAGUACACAAGUAUACCACUUAAUACUGUACGACUUUGAAUGUUAAAGUGCAAAUUAACAGCUGACCACUCUUGUGGGUGUGCUGCUGUUACAAUUUAAAAACCGUAGAAGGGCAAAAUGCCAGGCAGACAUUGAUAUGACGUAAGCAACAAGGCUACAACAAAUAAAAUUGAUGUUUGUGUUGGAUUCAUAGUGUGUGAAUCAAGCAUUGACCGUAGUCAAUCAUAUUGGUGGCACAGAGGUCCCCAAAUAAAAUUCUGCUUGGGAGACCAAUAAAGGCUUGGACUGUCCCUGACUGAAACCAUAAUUAUGCAUUCACUGUUUUUGGCUCCAGUGUACCCACAUGUUGUUGUUGUUGUUGUUGUUGUUGUAGUAGUAGUUCUUGUACUAGUUUUCUCACAACUGCUGGAUGUGGAACUGUCCUCCUUUUGAAUAAGUAUUUUGGAACUUUUUUUUUUUUUUUUUUUUUGCAAUCUUUGCUCAAGUGCCUUUGCGUGAAACAUCUAGUUUAUAAACUUAAUUUGUAUGUGCUUGAUCCUUAAAUUUGAAACCGGAAUUCAAAGCAUGGUUUUCUCAACUGAACAUGUGCACAACGCAAGCUGUUUUGUCAAGUUGGGGUUAGCCAACAGAUCAACAGAAUGGCUUUCUCAGCCCUUUUCAUUUGUGGAAUUGAAGUAGAACUGGUUGCU
rnacentral:lncRNA from 1 species